rnacentral:rRNA from 1 species
UACGUAGGGUGCGAGCGUUGUCCGGAAUUAUUGGGCGUAAAGGGCUCGUAGGCGGUCUGUCGCGUCGAAUGUGAAAACCCGGGGCUCAACCCCGGGCCUGCAUUCGAUACGGGCAGACUAGAGUUCGGUAGGGGAGACUGGAAUUCCUGGUGUAGCGGUGAAAUGCGCAGAUAUCAGGAGGAACACCGGUGGCGAAGGCGGGUCUCUGGGCCGAUACUGACGCUGAGGAGCGAAAGCGUGGGGGAGCGAACAGGA